UUUAUUUGGCCCCCACCGAACCACGAGUUGCAUGUAAAGAAGGUUGUCCAGACCUGCUUUUAUGAUAUCAUCUAAGAAAUACAGCGCCCUCCGUAAUUAUUGGGAUAGUGAAGCACUUCUUUUUCUUUUGGCUCUAUACUCCAAAAGUUUGUAUUUGAAAUGAAACAGUUACUAUGAGGUUAAAGUACAGACUAUUAGAUUUUAUUUGAGGGUAUUUGUGUAAAUAUUGUUUGUACCAUUUAGAAAUGACAACACAUUAGUUCCUAUAUUUCAGGGCACCUAAAGUAUUGGGACAACUGGAUUCUGAUUAGUCAGGUCAAGAACGUUGAUUUGAGGAAACUCAAGUCCCUGGCAUCAGAGCCAAAAGAAAACAACACUUUCCUCAUCCAGGACUACAACGGACUAAAAGGAAUCCUAGACAACUUUCAAAAAAAGAUCUUCAACAUUGAAGGUUCCAAGACUGCUCUGGCUGGAAACUUGACUAAAGAAAUGUCUCAGAGUGGGUUCAGUGCUGUCUACGUUAACAAGGACACCUUGGUUCUGGGCUCAGUGGGAUCAAACAACUGGCGUGGAUCUCUCUUUGAGACUGAGGGUCUGAGAUCAGAGGAAAGGGAAAUUCAGGACCCCACAUUGGACAAAGAUUCCUAUAUGGGAUACUCUGUAGCUGUUGGGAAGAAGAAUGAGAACCUUCUAUAUUUUACCGGAGCACCAAGAUCUGAACACAUGGGACGGAUCCUACUUUUUAACAAGGUUAACAACAACUGACUGUGGCACAAAGCUUGCCUGGAGAACAGAUGGGCUCCUACUUCGGUGCAGAGCUGUGUUCUGUGGACAUAGACUCAGACGGCAACACAGACUUCCUCCUGGUGGGUGCACCAAUGUUUCACCAACCUCCGAGAGAGGGCAGGAUCUACGUCUACACACUGACUGAUAAGCUGGAACUGAGGAUGGAGAUGAAUGUUUCAGUGCCAUCUCAGGGUAGAUUCGCUCCUCCAUCUGCUCUCUCACAGACCUGAAUGGAGAUGGGCUGAAGGAUGUAGCUGUGGGCGCUCCACUUGAGGACGAUCACAGGGGGGCCGUGUACAUCUACCUGGGUGAAAAGCUAAAGGGGAUCCGCCCUGAAUUCAGCCAGCGCAUCUCAGCUGUGAUGAUGAGAUCUAAGCUCCAGUUCUUUGGCCAGACAAUUGAUGGGAAAAUGGACCUGGGUGAGGAUGGACUGACUGAUAUCGUAGUAGGAGCG